rnacentral:rRNA from 1 species
AAGUUAAAUAAACCAAACUUUCAAA